rnacentral:misc_RNA from 1 species
UGUGGGAGCGGGCUUGCCCGCGAUGCUAGCGCCUCGGUGUAUCAGGCAAACCGCAGUGAUGCCAUCGCGGGCAAGCCCGCUCCCACA